rnacentral:rRNA from 1 species
CCUACGGGUGGCAGCAGUGGGGAAUAUUGGACAAUGGGCGAAAGCCUGAUCCAGCCAUGCCGCGUGUGUGAAGAAGGCCUUCGGGUUGUAAAGCACUUUCAGUGGGGAAGAAAGCCUUGGGGCUAAUACCCUCGAGGAAGGACAUCACCCACAGAAGAAGCACCGGCUAACUCCGUGCCAGCAGCCGCGGUAAUACGGAGGGUGCGAGCGUUAAUCGGAAUUACUGGGCGUAAAGCGCGCGUAGGCGGUCUGAUAAGCCGGUUGUGAAAGCCCCGGGCUCAACCUGGGAACGGCAUCCGGAACUGUCAGGCUAGAGUGCAUGAGAGGAAGGUAGAAUUCCCGGUGUAGCGGUGAAAUGCGUAGAGAUCGGGAGGAAUACCAGUGGCGAAGGCGGCCUUCUGGACUGACACUGACGCUGAGGUGCGAAAGCGUGGGUAGCAAACAGGAUUAGAUACCCGAGUAGUC